CAAAUUUGAAAUCUGGCGUCUUUGGCGUCCGAGUUGUAAUUUGCAGAGGGCGCUUUGGCACUGGCAGCGGUCCAAGUUCCUUGGAACAGGACGUCACAGAGGGUGAGAAUCCCGUACGUGGUCGCUAGCCUUUACCGUGUAAAGCCCCUUCGACGAGUCGAGUUGUUUGGGAAUGCAGCUCUAAAUGGGAGGUAAAUUUCUUCUAAAGCUAAAUACUGGCCAGAGACCGAUAGCGCACAAGUAGAGUGAUCGAAAGAUGAAAAGCACUUUGGAAAGAGAGUUGAAAAGCACGUGAAAUUGUUGAAAGGGAAGCGCUUGCAGCCAGACUUGCCUGUAGUUGCUCAUCCGGGUUUUUACCCGGUGCACUCUUCUAUAGGCAGGCCAGCAUCAGUUUGGGCGGUUGGAUAAAGGUCUCUGUCACGUACCUCCUCUCGGGGAGAACUUAUAGGGGAGACGUAAUGCAACCAGCCUGGACUGAGGUCCGCGCAUCUGCUAGGAUGCUGGCGUAGUGGCUGUAAGCGGCCCGUCUUGAAACACGGACCAAGGAGUCUAACAUCUAUGCGAGUGUUUGGGUGUCAAGC
rnacentral:rRNA from 1 species